UUGCAAAUAUAUCAAAAAUAAAAAACUGAAAAAUUAGGUUUGCUAAGCUUAUAAUGUUUAAUGUCAGCGAUGGUCCAGAGGGGGGCAGUGUUGUGCUGUCAGUGAGCUUUGUGUGUCCCUAGCCCAUGCGUACACACCAAAUUCAACUGCAAAAAUUUUUUAUUACAUUUUAUGCUUGCUUCAUAUGCAAGUUACCAACUUUAUGUUGUGUAAAAUAAAUUAGGACACUUUAAUUUGCUGCAGUUAGGGAUAAAUCACAUUUUUGUUUAAAUUAGAUCUGAAGUCUAAGUUUGAAACUUCAUUAUAGAUGUUCUUUUUAAACAUCCUUCUCUGAGGACAGGGGAAGUUUGUAUGUCUAGUGUUCAUAGGGUCCAUUGGCAUACACUUGCUAUUAUGAAAGGCUUCAUCAGAUUUAGUAUGCCCUUUGUGCUGGAUCUGCAUGCAUUGAUGGAGUCACAGCUGCUGGUCUUCAGUGGUUAGUUUGCAUCACAAAAUUAACGCCACACAAACCGAGUACUGUGCUGGUUCUGUCAGCUCCUGAGCACGUGCCUGAGUGUUUGUGAGUGUGUGUAAAUGUGUGAGUGAGCGCAUCUGUCUGUAAUGCGCUGCGUGAUGACGGCUCAUUAUCCCAACCACAGCGCGGUCAGCUCUGUGCCGUAAACAGAGGCCUUGCUCGCCGAGAGAACAUUGUGUCUGUGUACCGAUAGACGCCGGCCUCCAGUAGUGUAAAAACAGAGACUCCACAAACAAUUUGAAAGUUAUUAAACACCCAGCUGCCAACGCGCUGUGAUUGAAUUAAACGCAACCUGCGCUAACGGGAAGCGAAUGUUCCGUUUCUGCUCUGAAGAGCAAAUUUGUUUCAGAACAAUGGUCCGGAGUGCGGAGAAGCGCCGGCAGGUGGGCCUUGGAUUGGGCGCGGGACACUGGGGGAUCUUAAGCACUGAGGACUGUCUGUUUGAGCUUAAAAUGGCUUCAGCUAGGCUGGACAUACAGGGCAUGCAGAAGGCAGCCUUUACAAAGCAGAUUUCUGCCGCCUGUUGUAUAUUUGAGGUGACCUUACACCACUGCAGCAGGCAGAUGCCUUUGGAAAGAGACGAGGAUGAGCACUGAGGGACAGCUGAUCAGAGAGAUCAUCGCUAAUGAGCCGCUCUGGGACUGUAAAAGCCUGUCUCUUAGUGCUGGAUAGAGGAGUGGAACUUGGCGUGAUCUUCUGUUGCUGUUGCCCAUCCGCCUCAAGGUUCGACACGUUGUGCGUUCUCAAAUGCCCUGUUAUUUGAGCAUUCGCAACCUUUCUGUUAGGUUGAACAAGUCUGCCCAUUCUCCUCUGACCGCUCUCACAUACAAGGUGUUUUAAGCCACAGAACUGCCGCUCACUGAAUGUUUUUGUUUAUCGCACCAUUCUCUGUAAACUCUGGAGACUGUAGUGGAUGAAAUUCCCAGCAGGGCAGCUGUUUCUGAGAUGCUGAAACCACCACAUCUGGCACCAACCAAUCAUUCCAAGGUGUGUAUGUGUCUGUGUGUGCGUGUGUGUGUAUGAAAAUACAUUGUACUGCACGUGUACAUGGUGUGUCUGUUUCUGGUCUGAAAACCAGAAUAUCCUGUAAUGUGAGCACAAGGAGAACAUCCGUGUCCAACAUGUUCUCUGUACUCAUCUGAAUUUAGCUGGGACAAAAUGGCCCUGACCAAGGCCUCUGCGAUCAGGUGCUACUGUGCAGCUUUGUAACAGUACGACCGCUCUGUUCAGCAAAAUGGGGCUCCUUGUGCUGGGAUCUAAGUAAAGAUGAAAGACGUGCCCGGAACAAUCCGUCUGCUGCCUUCCUGGCACUGCGGCCCCCGGCGUUCCUGCAAGCGUGCCCGCGGACAGAGACCCACAGACAGAGGCUCGGUCGCCCCCUUUCCCUUUAUCCGGGAAAGAGCGCGUGACUGCGGAAAAUAUUCAAACGGGAGGAUUCACGAGUGUGAAAAAAUACAGUCAGCCUCCCUCCCCGGCACACCCACCAUCACGCCACCCCCCCCCUCCCCCCACCCUCGAUUUUUCACAGCUCUGGCUGCAAGGCCGUCUGGGAGAAGCGGUUGACGUCAGCGUGUGUCGGCUCGGCCCCUGCGCUGCCGCCGCUGAUAAAUGGUGCCAGUAAUUGAAUUAGAGGAGCAGGGGGAGCCCGGAGCUAAUUAGGCCCUUUCAGCAGCUGCUCUGUUCUUACCCUGGUACCCCCCCCCCACCCCCCAAAGCACCACAGCAGAACCGCAGAAGCCUUUGGUCAUGUGAUGGAACACUUCGGGUCAUGUGGUAGCGGGGGAGUAACUCUGCUGUCCUUCUUUGCCAUUUCCCCCUAAUUCGUCACACAGGUGAAGGCUUUAAAUGUCAGACAGUCGGAGGACAAAAAGACCUGGGGAAUGCUGACGACGUUAGGCACGGGUCGACAACCCCGGUCAACCUGUUUCUGAAGCUGCGUGUGGUGAAAUGUAAUCCACAGAAUAAGGUGUGUGUGUGUGUGUGCGUGCG